GACGAACGCUGGCGACGUGCUUAACACAUGCAAGUCGAACGGUGAAGCGCCUUCCUUAUUGGUGGGUGUGGAUGAGUGGACACAGAGUGAGUCAACCGUGAGUAAAAAGCACCCUUCUUCUGGAUAACCACAUGAAAGUGUGGCUAAUACGGGAUAUUCUGGGUCUGUCGCAUGAUGGGUCUGGGAAAGAUAUUGUUUCGGUGGGGGAUGGGCUCGCGGCCUAUCAGCUUGUUGGUGGGGUGAUGGCCUACCAAGGCGGUGACGGGUAGCCGGCCUGAGAGGGUGGACGGUCACACUGGAACUGAGACACGGCCCAGACUCCUACGGGAGGCAGCAGUGGGGAAUAUUGCACAAUGGGCGCAAGCCUGAUGCAGCGACGCCGCGUGAGGGAUGGAGGCCUUCGGGUUGUGAACCUCUUUCGCCAGUGAAGCAGGCCUGCCUCGUUUGUGGGUGGGUUGACGGUAGCUGGAUAAGAAGCGCCGGCUAACUACGUG
rnacentral:rRNA from 1 species